rnacentral:tmRNA from 3 species
GGGGAUGAAUUGACUAGACAAUGGACUGAUGCGAUAGAGCCGCGAAGUGAGAGCCCAGAACUCUCUCAAAAACUGGAAACUCUAACUGCAAAAUCAGUUGCAUCGCCGUAUUUUGCGGCGAAUGAUUUCGAGUUCGCCUACGCUAAGGCAUAACUCGUCGCCGCUCUUGCAAUACUCGUGAGCAAGAGUCGGGCGUUAUAUCACCGAGUUGCUGCAGCGCACGUGCUCCGCGCGUUGUUUAAGACUUAGAGCUCUGGCUUGAUGCGGUUUUGUCCGCUUUACACGCAUCAAGCCGAGAUUGAAAACGGACUACACUUCGUAGACGCACCGUCGCUCAACCAUUGGACGGGGGUUCACUACCCCCCAUCUCCACAU